rnacentral:rRNA from 1 species
GUUGUAUAGUCAAGUAAUUAAGUGCAUGUGGUGGAUGCCUUGGCAGUCAGAGGCGAUGAAAGACGUGAUAGCCUGCGAAAAGCUCCGGGGAGGCGGCAAAUAUCCUUUGAUCCGGAGAUGUCUGAAUGGGGGAACCCACCUACUUUAAGGUAGGUAUUGCAACAUGAAUACAUAGUGUUGCAAGGCGAACGAGGGGAAGUGAAACAUCUCAGUACCCUUAGGAAAAGAAAUCAAUUGAGAUUCCCUCAGUAGC